UCUAGAACUUGAGAUACGGGCUGAACACUAAACAGUGUCUGGGCUGCAGGACAGAUGACGACUUCUCCGUUGUUGCUACAAUUUGAACUUGAAAACGACCUUUUUGAAUCUUAGACUCUCAUAAAAGUUUUAGGCCUAUGUCUUAGCUUUCCAUC
rfam:Populus trichocarpa scaffold_13_contig_100, whole genome shotgun sequence.